rnacentral:lncRNA from 1 species
CGGGCACCCGGGCCCCGCGGCCCGGGCCCGGCAGCGCGGCGCGGCCGAGCGCGGGAGACUUACUUUUGGCUAGCUUCCUCGCCCUCGCCUUGGAUCGCAUGGUGUCGGCUCGCGGAAUCUCUCUCCUCCUCCUUGAGCCCAGAAGCAGCUACACACUAUCUUCAUCUCCCCAGCAUUGUCAGUUUGGACACCUUCGCACAUGCGCACAGAGCACUCAAUCUGACACCCCUCGCCGGGGCCAAAAAAACUUUGCAAUGUAUUCAUCAUCCUCAUCGUCGCGCCGCUGCCGCCGCCGCCGCCGCCUCGGCGCGGGAUUGGGGGGCUCUCCUCGGCCUUCUCGGUCUUCACCUCACUUCUCUCUGCCCCCUCCCCCCCCUUUUCAGCGCCGCUUGGAACUGGCCCUUUAAGAAAACAUUCCGUGAUCUGCGCUCUCGCCCGGGGCCCGCACCCCGGACACUUUAAAAGGACCCAGGUGGCCCUGGAGGCGAGGUGACCGUCCCCCCGCCCUGCCCCUGCGUCGCGUCGCGCUGCAGCUCCCGCCCCAGCCGGGCCAAAGAUGGGGUGGCGGCUGCGGUUUUUCGUGCGACUUCCUUAGAUCUUGGGGCAAACGCGCAGAUAGUUCGGACGCGGGUCCGGGCUGAUUUCGCUGCGUUUUAUUGCGUUUUAUUACUAAUUAAAAAGCUUUCGUUCACCGUCGCCCCAGCCCGCUCUUCUCCCGAACUCUCCCCUCGGCCCCCGCCUCCGCCCCGCGAUUGCUCCGGGGGUACCGGCGCCCGCGCGCCAGAACCCGGCUCCUCCGAAGCCCCCUCCGAGCCCCGCCGCCGCCCUCGGG